rnacentral:rRNA from 1 species
UACGUAGGGUGCGAGCGUUGUCCGGAAUUAUUGGGCGUAAAGAGCUCGUAGGCGGUGUGUCACGUCGGCCGUGAAAACCUGCAGCUUAACUGUGGGCGUGCGGGCGAUACGGGCAGACUUGGAGUACGUGCAGGGGAGACUGGGAAUUCCUAGUAUAGCGGUGGAAUGCGCAGAUAUCAGGAGGAACACCGAUGGCGAAGGCAGCUCGCUGGGACGGUACUGACGCUGGAGGCGACGAAAGCGUGGGGAGCAAACAGG